rnacentral:tRNA from 1 species
AAAGGGAGACCUAAUUCGGGUAGAAGACGAAAAAAUAGUAGUCGAAACCAAGAAUCAAUCCCAAAAGGUCGGAACGAGGUAUGUGGCUUUCAAACUAGGUUCUGGGUUCACAAAAGACCUGAAUCAGGAACAAGGGCUAUUAGCUCAGGUGGUUAGAGCGUACCCCUGAUAAGGGUGAGGUCCCUGGUUCGAGUCCAGGAUGGCCCACCUGCACAGGUGGCAAAAACAAGAGAAACGAGGAAUCAGCACCUUAUCUUACUUACAUAGUAAGAGAGAAUGCUGGCUCUGAGUAAAGAGUCCAGAGGAACCUUGAAAACUGCAUAGAGCCAGGUGAAAAAGCCAAAAAAGAAGACCGCAAG